GCUCCAGUUGAAGACUUGGAUCUAUACUGUUUCUCCAUCUAAAAAGAAGACAUGAAGCUGCUUACCACUUUUCUGAUUUUGGCGCUGAUGUCUGGCAUUCUUGUCACCGCUUCACUCAACAACGAGAAGAGUGAAGUAGCUCACUUAAGAGUUCGACGAUGGGGGUUUGGUUGCCCGUUCAGGGCACGUGCAUGCCAUAACCACUGCCGCAGUUUUGGGCGCCGGGCUGGUUACUGCGGCGGCAGGUUCAGGGUUACGUGUAUCUGCGUGCUUCGUUGACGCAAGGGGGACUGCGACAGCAAACGUACUCGAGUGAACGCACGUGCACAGAGUGGAGGCGACACCUGAUAUACCUGGAGUGUUGCACAAUUUCUUUACAUGAACGUAUAAACUUAACAUUAUCCUCCACUUUCAGCUAAGAGUUCCAAGAGUGCGUUUGCAAUGCAAAUAUGCUGACAAUAAACAAGAAAGCGAACCAAUUC